UGACUCAGCCCUGUCUCCUGACAGACGAUGCUCGUGCAGUUCUGGAGCUGUGUGGGUACUAUCAAUCUGCAGGUCCUCAUGAAAGGCUUUUCUGGAUACUAAAAACUUCACAGUACAACACAAGGCACACUUUCACUGUGUGGAUGAAUCAUAGAAUCACCAAGGUUGGAGAAGACCGCCAAGAUGAUCUAGUCCAGCUGUUCAUCUACUACCAAAAUUUCCCCACUAAACAUGUCCCAGAGCAUAACAUCUAAACAUUUAUUGAAGCUUCUCAUAUUCAAAUGGUGACCCCCUCAUCUUGUAGCUUCUUGGACAGUGUGUCAAGAAUUGAAAAUGCCUUUCUUGAAACAGCACAUAAAACAGUAUGCAAGAAAGAUAGAAGAGAGGAUAAGGUCUUCAGAGAGGAGAGAACUGGCUUGAAAUGGGAGCUGGGGAGGACUGCAGCUUUGCUGGUUUUCAAAGAUGUUUUUGGAGAGCUGG